rnacentral:rRNA from 1 species
UUCCGGUUGAUCCUGCCGGACCUUACUGCUAUCGGGAUGAGACUAAGCCAUGCAUGUCGAGCGCUCUUCAGCUAUGUAGAGAGCGCGGCGAACGGCUCAAUAACACGUAGUUAACCUACCCUCGGGAUGGGAAUAACCCCGGGAAACUGGGAUUAAUACCCACUAGAUGAUUAUACCUGGAAUGGCUUAUCAUCGAAAGAGUCUGGAAACAUGCUUCCAGCGUCGCCCGAGGAUGGGACCGCGUCCGAUCAGGUAGUUGGUAGGGUAAUGGCCUACCAAGCCUAUAACCGGUACGGGCCCUGAGAGGGGGAGCCCGGAGAUGGAAACUGAGAAAAGGUUCCAGGCCCUACGGGGUGCAGCAGGCGCGAAACCUCCACAAUGCGCGAAAGCGUGAUGGGGUUAUCCCGAGUGCCGUCCGAUGAGGAUGGCUUUUUAUCGAUGUAAGGAUUCGAUAGAAUAAAGGGGGGGCAAGACUGGUGUCAGCCGCCGCGGUAAUACCAGCCCCCUGAGUGGUAAGGACGAUUAUUUGGCCUAAAGCGUUCGUAGCCGGCUUAUCAAGUCUUUUGUUAAAUCCAACGAUUCAAUCGUUGGGCUGCAAAAGAUACUGUUAUGCUAGAGGACGGGAGAGGUCGACGGUAGUCCAGGGGUAGGGGUGAAAUCCUAUAAUCCUUGGAGGACCACCAGUGGCGAAGGCGGUCGACUAGAACGUGCCUGACGGUGAGGGACGAAAGCUGGGGGAGCGAACCGGAUUAGAUACCCGGGUAGUCCCAGCUGUAAACGAUGCGGGCUAGGUGUUGGGGCAGCCACGAGCUGCUCCAGUGCCGCAGAGAAGUUGUUAAGCCCGCCGCCUGGGGAGUACGGCCGCAAGGCUGAAACUUAAAGGAAUUGGCGGGGGAGCACCACAAGGGGUGAAGGCUGCGGUUUAAUUGGAGUCAACGCCGGA